AACAUCAUCAUGAAGGGAAGUGGAGCUAACAGAGAGAGUUAACAUCAUCAUGGAGGGAAGUGGAGCUAACAGAGAGAGUUAACAUCAUCAUGGAGGGAAGUGGAGCUAACAGAGAGAGUUAACAUCAUCAUGGAGGGAAGUGGAGCUAACAGAGAGAGUUAACAUCAUCAUGAAGGGAAGUGGAGCUAACAGAGAGAGUUAACAUCAUCAUGGAGGGAAGUGGAGCUAACAGAGAGAGUUAACAUCAUCAUGGAGGGAAGUGGAGCUAACAGAGAGAGUUAACAUCAUCAUGAAGGGAAGUGCAUAGUGGAGCUAACAGAGAGAGUUAACAUCAUCAUGAAGGGAAGUGGAGCUAACAGAGAGAGUUAACAUCAUCAUGAAGGGAAGUGGAGCUAACAGAGAGAGUUAUCAUCAUCAUGAAGGGAAGUGGAGCUAACUGAGAGAGUUAUCAUCAUCAUGAAGGGAAGUGGAGCUAACAGAGAGAGUUAACAUCAUCAUGGAGGGAAGUGGAGCUAACAGAGAGAGUUAUCAUCAUGGAGGGAAGUGCAUAGUGGAGCUAACAGAGAGAGUUAACAUCAUCAUGGAGGGAAGUGGAGCUAACAGAGAGAGUUAACAUCAUCAUGGAGGGAAGUGGAGCUAACAGAGAGAGUUAACAUCAUCAUGGAGGGAAAUGGAGCUAACAGAGAGAGUUAUCAUCGUCAUGAAGGGCAGAAAAGGACCCGAGACGGAUGUCGGAGCGGAAAAACAACUUGAUUAGAAAGGGAGGAAUACAUCUUGAUUAAAGGAAAGGAUGUUUAUUCAACUGUGAAGACAAACUUUGGAAUUAAAAACUGCUAAAUGAGUGAAAUUAAUGAAGUUUACAUGACUGAGGAAAAUAUUGCUGUGGUGGAGGACAAUGCUAAAGUGAAUGACAAUCAGGAUGUAACGGCCGUCGUCGGUGUAAGAAGGUGAGGACCAAAGCGCAGCGUGGGAAGUGUUCAUCUUCAUUAAUGGAAAAAAUGAAUAACAAACAACAAAGAAACAACCGGAACAGUUCUGUCUGGUGCAGACACACAAAGAC
ensembl:lncRNA